AUGGCCACUGCUUGGAAGGUCACCCUGGUCACAGCCGUGGUAGGCUGGUUCUUCGCGCCCCUCAUCACCUUUUUGAUGCCCAAGUUCAUCGCCCUCUUCGGGUUCGAUGCGUCGAAGAAGCUCAAGCAUCUGAAGAUCGACAUCCUCCAGCUGCUCGAGAAUACCCUGCCUGAGGUAGAUGAAGCGAGGAUUGUCACCGGAAGAAAGACACCAACGGAAGUGGACAGGCUCCACGAGCUGGCUGCCAUGCUGAGGCACGCUCAGGAGGAUGCAGAGGACAUCUUGCAUGAUCACAAGGCCAUCGAGCAGUACCGCAACAGGUGGUUGGAGCGCCUCUGCACAGUAUCCACAUGCGUCGCUUGGUUCACCUGGAUCUGCGUGUGCAUUACACGCAUCGUCCGUGGCGGAUCGGCCUGGCUACUGCAGUGGUUCAUGGGGCCUGGCCUGGUGAAUGAAGAUCAAGGGGCCUCACACGCGGGUGUUCCUGCGAAUGACGAUCAGGAGGCCUCACACACGGGUGACCCAGCGAAUGAAUAUCCAGCGGCCUCACGCCCGGUUGUUCCGGCGAAUGAAGAUCCAAGAGCCCCACGCCAGGGUGCUCGCUUCCUCCGCAGCGGAUCGGCCUGGCUACUGCAGUGGUUCACGGGACCUGGUCUGGUGAAUGAAGAUCAAAGGGCCUCACGAGCGGGUGUUCCGGCAAAAUGA
rnacentral:rRNA from 1 species